CCGUAAGUCUCCCGGUAAAUCGGGCGGCUCAACCGUCCGCAUCCGGGAGAUACUGCGGGGCUAGGGACCGGGAGAGGCCGGGGGUACUCCCGGGGUAGGGGUAAAAUCCUGUAAUCCCGGGGGGACCACCUGUGGCGAAGGCGCCCGGCUGGAACGGGUCCGACGGUGAGGGACGAAGGCCGGGGGAGCGAACCGGAUUAGAUACCCGGGUAGUCCCGGCUGUAAACGCUGCGGGCUAGGUGUCGAGGAUCCUACGGGGAUCCUCGGUGCCGAAGGGAAGCCGGAAGCCCGCCGCCUGGGGAGUACGGCCGCAAGGCUGAAACUUAAAGGAAUUGGCGGG
rnacentral:rRNA from 1 species